rnacentral:rRNA from 1 species
UUGAUGGCAGGAGUUUCAGACUGGAUUCGUGCUCGAAAGAGAACCUGCACACAGGUGCUGCAUGGCUGUCGUCAGCUCGUGUCGUGAGAUGUUGGGUUAAGUCCCGCAACGAGCGCAACCCUUGUCAUUAGUUGCUACAUUCAGUUGAGCACUCUAAUGAGACUGCCGGUGACAAACCGGAGGAAGGUGGGGAUGACGUCAAGUCCUCAUGGCCCUUAUAGGUGGGGCUACACACGUCAUACAAUGGCUGGUNCAGAGGGUUUGCCAACCCAGAGGG